rnacentral:rRNA from 1 species
AUUGAACGCUGGCGGCAUGCUUUACACAUGCAAGUCGAACGGUAACAGGCCUUCGGGUGCUGACGAGUGGCGAACGGGUGAGUAAUGCAUCGGAACGUGCCCAGAGGUGGGGGAUAACGCAGCGAAAGCUGUGCUAAUACCGCAUGUGAUCUGAGGAUGAAAGCGGGGGACCGAGCAGCAAUGUUUGGCCUCGCGCCUUUGGAGCGGCCGAUGUCGGAUUAGCUAGUUGGUGGGGUAAAGGCCUACCAAGGCGACGAUCCGUAGCUGGUCUGAGAGGACGACCAGCCACACUGGGACUGAGACACGGCCCAGACUCCUACGGGAGGCAGCAGUGGGGAAUUUUGGACAAUGGGCGCAAGCCUGAUCCAGCAAUGCCGCGUGCGGGAAGAAGGCCUUCGGGUUGUAAACCGCUUUUGGCAGGAACGAAACGGUGUCCGCUAAUACCGGGCGCUAAUGACGGUACCUGCAGAAUAAGCACCGGCUAACUACGU